GGUUAAGCGACUAAGCGUACACGGUGGAUGCCCUGGCAGUCAGAGGCGAUGAAGGACGUGCUAAUCUGCGAUAAGCGCCGGUAAGGUGAUAUGAACCGUUAUAACCGGCGAUUUCCGAAUGGGGAAACCCAGUGUGACUCGUCACACUAUCAUUAACUGAAUCCAUAGGUUAAUGAGGCGAACCGGGGGAACUGAAACAUCUAAGUACCCCGAGGAAAAGAAAUCAACCGAGAUUCCCCCAGUAGCGGCGAGCGAACGGGGAGGAGCCCAGAGCCUGAAUCAGCAUGUGUGUUAGUGGAAGCGUCUGGAAAGGCGCGCGAUACAGGGUGACAGCCCCGUACACAAAAGCGCAUAUGCUGUGAGCUCGAUGAGUAGGGCGGGACACGUGGUAUCCUGUCUGAAUAUGGGGGGACCAUCCUCCAAGGCUAAAUACUCCUGACUGACCGAUAGUGAACCAGUACCGUGAGGGAAAGGCGAAAAGAACCCCGGCGAGGGGAGUGAAAAAGAACCUGAAACCGUGUACGUACAAGCAGUGGGAGCACAGGUUUACCUGUGUGACUGCGUACCUUUUGUAUAAUGGGUCAGCGACUUAUAUUCUGUAGCAAGGUUAACCGAAUAGGGGAGCCGGAGGGAAACCGAGUCUUAAUUGGGCGUUAAGUUGCAGGGUAUAGACCCGAAACCCGGUGAUCUAGCCAUGGGCAGGUUGAAGGUUGGGUAACACUAACUGGAGGACCGAACCGACUAAUGUUGAAAAAUUAGCGGAUGACCUGUGGCUGGGGGUGAAAGGCCAAUCAAACCGGGAG
rnacentral:rRNA from 1 species